UGCCAGCAGCCGCGGUAAUACAGAGGGUGCAAGCGUUAAUCGGAAUGACUGGGCGUAAAGGGCGUGUAGGUGGACUGAUAAGUCAAAGGUGAAAUCCCCGGGCUCAACCUGGGAACUGCCUCUGAAACUGUGAGUCUAGAGUAUAGGAGAGGAAAGUGGAAUUUCCGGUGUAGCGGUGAAAUGCGUAGAUAUCGGAAGGAACACCAGUGGCGAAGGCGGCUUUCUGGCCUAAUACUGACACUGAAACGCGAAAGCGUGGGUAGCGAACAGGAUUAGAUG
rnacentral:rRNA from 1 species